UACGAAGGGGGCUAGCGUUGCUCGGAAUUACUGGGCGUAAAGGGCGCGUAGGCGGCCCUGUUGGUCGGGCGUGAAAUCCCCCGGGCUCAACCCGGGGGCUGCGCCCGAAACGGCGGGGCUGGAGGACGGGAGAGGCUCGCGGAAUUCCCAGUGUAGAGGUGAAAUUCGUAGAUAUUGGGAAGAACACCGGUGGCGAAGGCGGCGAGCUGGCCCGUUUCUGACGCUGAGGCGCGACAGCGUGGGGAGCAAACAGG
rnacentral:rRNA from 1 species